GAUGAACGCUGGCGGCGUGCCUAAUACAUGCAAGUCGAGCGAACAGACGAGGAGCUUGCUCCUCUGACGUUAGCGGCGGACGGGUGAGUAACACGUGGAUAACCUACCUAUAAGACUGGGAUAACUUCGGGAAACCGGAGCUAAUACCGGAUAAUAUAUUGAACCGCAUGGUUCAAUAGUGAAAGACGGUUUUGCUGUCACUUAUAGAUGGAUCCGCGCCGCAUUAGCUAGUUGGUAAGGUAACGGCUUACCAAGGCAACGAUGCGUAGCCGACCUGAGAGGGUGAUCGGCCACACUGGAACUGAGACGCGGUCCAGACUCCUACGGGAGGCAGCAGUAGGGAAUCUUCCGCAAUGGGCGAAAGCCUGACGGGGCAACGCCGCGUGAGUGAUGAAGGUCUUCGGAUCGUAAAACUCUGUUAUUAGGGAAGAACAAAUGUGUAAGUAACUAUGCACGUCUUGACGGUACCUAAUCAGAAAGCCACGGCUAACUACGUG
rnacentral:rRNA from 1 species